UGGAUUACAUGCAACACAACACGGCUGUGCAGUGGCUUUUAUUUUGAAAGAUAAUCACGGCCCGGUAGUGGGACGUACGCCUUUGUGCUGUUAGGCUAGAAGACUGUAGUUGAAACGCUGUGUUGUCAGUCUACGGUUUUGAUUGUUAUGGUGUCUCUUCGGCAUCAUACACUGGAAAGCAGACUUUUUAAAAAUAUACGUGAAAUAUAUAUAUAUGUGAAAUGGAAGUUUUGUAUCACCUGGGGCGACAGCAAGAGUCUAUGUGAUAAGCUAACCAAGCUAAAGGUGUGGGGUUCGGAGUAAUGCCUUUCGGAAGACCAGGAGAGUCCAGGAAAUUCGUCCCGUCCAAACCUUUAAGUUGAGCUGUAGCUGGUUCUAAUUUUCUCGGAGCUUUUCUGUGGACGUGAAGCUGAUUUACUGAAAACAACCCGGAGCGCCCAGUUUAACACUGGAAUAUGUUGAGUGAUGGCUUCGUAUAGGACAGCUGCUCCUUAGGCACAUGUACGAAGGACAAGUCUUGAAUUGCUGAACUGGUUCACCGCACCUUGCGGGUGUGUCUGGCAUUGGAACGAGAUUUUGCCUACGCUUGAAUCUUCGUGAAAUUUUUGCAACACAGAAUUUGCAAGGGGCUAUUAUCAGGGCAUAUUGUGCUUCCAAGUGUUUUUUUUUUUUUCGGUUAAACGUUUUAAGAAUUAAUGGCUUCUGUGAUGGGGAGAGCGUGGGGGUGGGUUCACUCCUGGGGUAGAUAUACCACUCUAAAUACCCCAACUUUGUGCCAAAAGCAGCUUGGUAAAGAUGACGACACUGUCAAAGGCUGGCCAUCAUGGAUUUGGGGAGGAUGGAGAAAAGUAAGUGACCUAAGUGGCCCAGUGGAGGAGUAUUGGGAAGCGCAGGAGAAACUGCAGCCCAUGGAAAUAGAAGAUCUCGGAGCAGGGAAAUCUGAGUCAGAUCUACAUAUGUCUAGGUGGUGGAGCAAAUACCUCCCAACAUGGCCAAGAAAAACUGAUAAAAAUGGAGUGAGACAAAGGAAGGAGGACACUCAAAGGGGAGAGACAUGGUUACAUGAUGGUGAUGGGGACUGUUCUGAUUAUGGAACCCCUCCUCCAUCUCCCACAUCUUCUAAGCUGACCUCUCCAUUCCGAUUCUUUGCAGGUAGCUGGAAGUUGGAGAUUGUACCAGAGCACUAUGAGAUUUGCUUUAAUUUCCUCCGUCACUUGUUUGACCUGUUCGUGGUAGCCUUUCUGUGGACUGUGUCCCCUCCUGUCAAAUUGAUCCUGGAGAUGUUGGGGGUCCAGGGAGCACUGAGGCUGUGGUUUCAUGGCAUGGCAAUGUUUUUCGUCUCAACAGCUGGAAUGGCAGCUUUACUUUGGUUGAUUCAGGAGUAUCUUCCUCAAUUUGCUUUGAUCUAUGGCAUCACACAAGCAUUGGUGAUCUCUGUUAGCGUACGUCAAAGUGUUAUCCUUGGAGGAGAAGAAGAAAAAGGAAAUAUCAAGGAGGUGAAGGAGAUUCAUGAAAAAGACAAUGUAGAACAUGAAGAGAAACUUUUUUUCUAAGGACCUGCUAAAGGGUUUAGCUUAAGAUGAUGCAGGAAUUCAGCUUCUUCAGCCUUUCUCCAGAUGUGUGAUGACUCCACAGACACCAACAGAUUGUUGUACCACCAAAUUCAUUAGCUAUAAUUAUAUUUGACUUUGAUUUAGAGUUCAGUGAAUGUGCUACUUGUUUCUCUUUUUUGCCUUAUUUGUCUGCACUUUACAAACAUCUACUCAUCACCCUGAAUGUUUAUGGUAAUACUAUAAAUGCUGAGAAGGGUGGGGUUAUGAGUGUUCAAGAGGAAGCUUUGUUGAAAAACACUUAGUCCAGUAAAUAGGGAGGCCUCUUUUACUUUUCUGACUGCACACAGUGGCUUUCUACUCACCCUUGUUAAAUUACCUGGUUUUUGUGAUGUAGGAAAAUAUGACCAUGAUAAAUCAUUGGCAUUUUUCUUCAUAUAAUGUGACACAUAUGAUGUACAAUUAAAGUGAAAAUGUUAGAAGGAAAAAUAUAAAAGGUGUAAUAACCCAGUUUAUAGUGUGCACUUCCUCAGGUUCAUACUUGUUUGCAGCACCUUCUCUGGGGGAAGUCUGUCAGCAUCUCACAUCUUAAAUUGGCAUUAUUUUGUCUACUCAAUCUGCAAAUGUUGUCCAAAAUUACCAGAUUGUGAGGGAAUCUCUUGUCCACGGAAAUCCACAGACUUUCUAUUAAAUUUAGUUCUCGACUCUAGAGGAUUUUUUUCAAGGCUUAGAUUUUUUGUCUUUGUAAGAAAAAGCUUCUGUUUCACAGCCCUACGUCUUUGUCCAGACAUUUGGGGAAACCAGGAGAUUUUUGUCACAUGUAGAACAACCAGAAAACCCUGCAGUUCCUUCAGUGCUGCUGUUGCUCUCUUGGAAUCCUCCCUAACCAGUAUCAUGAUACAUACAAUACAUUUUUACAAUUAAGCCUCUUUGCAAAUUAUGGCUUUAUUUAAAGAUGAAAAAACAAUUUAAGUGAUUUAUCAUAGUCUCUGUCUACGUUACUUAAACCGUUGUAAUUUAACAAGGGUGUGUAGACUUUUGAGAGCCACUGUAUAGUGCCAGCUAAAGCAUUUGAGAAUAGGUUAUGAAUUCCUGAAUUAUCAGGAAAAGGUCAUGAGAAAUACAUGUUCAAAUGCUCACCUUGCCUCCUGUUUCUAAACUUAGCUUACCCCUAAGAUGUGAGCCAAAGAGGUAAUGAAGAAAUUUUAGGAUUGUAGAAAAGAGAGGGGGUACAGUAGCUGAGUUUGCGAAGCACUAACUGCUUAUUUAGUAAGUAAAGUACAGCAUCUCAUUACAAGCUUUGCUCUAAAAAAAGUGGAUCUAAAAAAAUAAUCAAAAGCUCCCUGAAAAGAAGAGGAAACACUAAAAGAAAAAAUCAUUUGUCCAGUGUAGGUAUAGUCUUAGAUAUAAAAUCUUUCCCUAUUAUGAAGUAAUGGUCUUUUUUUUGGAGGUCAAGACAGCCUUUUAAAUAGUCUUUAAUGCCGCCUGGACAUUGGCAAGUAGUGUUCAUCCAAACCUGCAGAGCCUAGGGCUAGAUGACCUGUACUCAUUGGUUUCCUCAUCUAAAGGACUGUCUUCCAGCAAAAUGAAAGAGUGGAGUCGAGAGUGAUAAUUGGACUUGGCUUUAAGAUUUAUUACCUCAACAUUGGGUUAGGGUAGUUCACUCUGGCCUGACUGUGUUUAGGAAUAGUUUUUUCAGAGCUCAAUAAUAUCCCCUGAAAUCCUUCUCACACAUUUUUACAGGUAUGAGAGGCUAUGAUUUAUUAUUGAAACCUUAAGCUGACACAUUUCAACCCAGUUUUUUCUUGUGACUUAUAUUGUUGGGUUGAGGUUUCAUGUAUAGGUGCCUUUACUGAUGUGAAUAUCAGACUUUAGUUCAGGGUCAGAAAACCUGCAAGGUCGUCAGAGCACUCCGUUCACACACUACAAAACAACUGUUUUUAUGAUCUAAAUUUGUCAGAAAAUGUAUGUUAUAAACAUGACCAGUUGAGUGAAAAUGGAUGAUUGGCCCCAUGUUCCUCCAGCUACAGAGGAAGUGGCUUGACCUGAAAUAAAUGCUGCUUCCUCAGUAAGGGUGCCUUGAAUUAGAUAUUUGGACAUAUAAAGCUGUUGUUUCUGUUGUUUAUCUGCACAUAUGUUUAAAAAAAAGGCUUUUACCGUUUAAUAUUAAAGGGAGUAUCUUUUGCAGCAUUAUUACAUAAACAAGCAUCACACUAAUGUAUUCUUACUUAUAUUACUCAAAUACACCAAAAUACACGUGAAUCAAGUCAUCUGUUUGGUCUUGCAGCAUGUUUUUACUCUCAGCACUUCUUUUACCUUAAAUAUCUGGACAUAAUAUUUUGAACUGUAUUAAAGCCUAAAAAACAUGGUAGCCUGUAUAGUGAAAUUAUUUAAAAUGUCACUGAUUUAGGGCACAUAAUGUACAAUAAAGUUGGUAGGAAACACUA